rnacentral:rRNA from 1 species
UACGUAGGGUGCAAGCGUUAAUCGGAAUUACUGGGCGUAAAGCGUGCGCAGGCGGUUCGGAAAGAAAGAUGUGAAAUCCCAGGGCUUAACCUUGGAACUGCAUUUUUAACUGCCGGGCUAGAGUAUGUCAGAGGGGGGUAGAAUUCCACGUGUAGCAGUGAAAUGCGUAGAGAUGCGGAGGAACACCGAUGGCGAAGGCAGCCCCCUGGGCUAACACUGACGCUCAGGCACGAAAGCGUGGGGAGCAAACAGG